rnacentral:lncRNA from 1 species
AAGAAGAAGGGGUUCUCUCUAGGAAAUUUUCUGAGGAGCCUAGGUUAUCCUAGUAUUCAGAAUUGACUUCAGCUCCCUAUGCCAUACAAAUAUGGCUGUCUUGCUGCUCAAGCCAAUAGCUUGGUGGUCUACAGCCUAUUACUCGUAUCACAUUCCUCCAGCAGGCAGGUGGGUAGUCAGGACCCAGUGGCUGCUUGGGGCUGAUUCUCCCGCACAGCCACUGUAUCCUUACAUGAUGCCUCUUCUCCUGAACAGAUGUGACCUUCAUCCUGGAUGAUGGGACCAUCAGCGCCCAUAAGCCUCUGCUGAUUUCCAGCUGUGACUGGAUGGCUGCCAUGUUUGGGGGACCAUUUGUGGAGAGUUCUACCAGGGAGGUGAGACUGCAGAUGGGAAGGGAGAGAUAUUUACCUCUUUGAAUUUGAGAUAGCGUCAGUUAAUGGUACUUUCCUCAGCCCUGGUCAUGUUCUAAGCACAGUGAUGGACCCAAAACAAGUUUAUGAGAUACUUUGAGUUGCCAAGGAUUUUUCAAUAUUCCAGGAGAGGAAAUUAUACUAUCUUAGCCAAACCUGUUAUACGAAAGAAAGGGAUACCCUGAGAAGUUAUGCAACUUGCACAAAGUUAUGCAACUAGG